CACGCCCUAAACGAUGUCUACUUGCUGUUGGGGGCAACCUUAGUAGCGAAGCUAACGCGAGAAGUAGACCGCCUGGGGAGUACGGNCAACGCGAAGAACCUUACCUGCUCUUGACAUGUACGGAAGACUACAGAGAUGUGGUUGUGCCUUCGGGAACCGUAACACAGGUGC
rnacentral:rRNA from 1 species